rnacentral:rRNA from 1 species
AGCGAACGCUGGCGGCAGGCUUAAUACAUGCAAGUCGAGCGCCUGUAGCAAUACAGGAGCGGCAGACGGGAGAGUAACACGUGGGAACGUGCCCUUUGGUUCGGAACAACACAGGGAAACUUGUGCUAAUACCGGAUAAGCCCUUACGGGGAAAGAUUUAUUGCCAAAGGAUCGGCCCGCGUCUGAUUAGCUAGUUGGUGGGGUAAUGGCCCACCAAGGCGACGAUCAGUAGCUGGCUGAGAGGAUGAUCAGCCUCAUUGGGACUGAGACACGGCCCAAACUCCUACGGGAGGCAGCAGUAGGGAAUAUUGGACAAUGGGCGCAAGCCUGAUCCAGCCAUGCCGCGUGAGUGAUG